GCUACUUGCGGUCCGGCAUCGGCGUUAAAACGUCGGGGUCAAGCGUGUUCCGGAAUGAUUGGGGGUAAAGAGGUCGUAGGCGGUCUGUUGCGUCCGCUGUGAAAACUCGGGGCUUAACCCCGAGCCUGCAGUGGAUACGGGCAGACGAGAGGUAGGUAGGGGAGAAUGGAAUUCCCGGUGUAGCGGUGAAAUGCGCAGAUAGCGGGAGGAACACCGGUGGCGAAGGCGGUUCUCUGGGCCUUACCUGACGCUGAGGAGCGAAAGCGUGGGGAGCGAACAGGAUUAGAUACCCGAGUAGUC
rnacentral:rRNA from 1 species